rnacentral:rRNA from 1 species
AUUGAACGCUGGCGGCAGGCCUAACACAUGCAAGUCGAGCGGAUGAAGGGAGCUUGCUCCUGGAUUCAGCGGCGGACGGGUGAGUAAUGCCUAGGAAUCUGCCUGGUAUUGGGGUAUAACGUCCGGAAACGGGCGCUAAUACCGCAUACGUCCUGAGGGAGAAAGAGGGGGAUCUUCGGACAUCACGCUAUCAGGUGAGCCUAGGUCGGAUUAGCUAGUUGGUGGGGUAAAGGCCUACCAAGCCGACGAUCCGUAACUGGUCUGAGAGGAUGAUCAGUCACACUGGAACUGAGACACGGUCCAGACUCCUACGGGAGGCAGCAGUGGGGAAUAUUGGACAAUGGGCGAAAGCCUGAUCCAGCCAUGCCGCGUGUGUGAAGAAGGUCUUCGGAUUGUAAAGCACUUUAAGUUGGGAGGAAGGGCAGUAAGUUAAUACCUUGCUGUUUUGACGUUACCAACAGAAUAAGCACCGGCUAACUUCGUG